rnacentral:rRNA from 1 species
GACGAACGCUGGCGGCGUGCUUAACACAUGCAAGUCGAACGGUGAAGCCCCAGCUAGUUGGGGUGGAUCAGUGGCGACCGGGGGAGUUACACGUGAGCAACCUGUCCCUGAUGGUGGCAUAAGCUCUGGAAACGUCGUCUCAUACUGGAUACGAGAUGUGGCCCAAGGGUCACCCUCUGGAAGGUUAUACGGUUGGGGAUGGGCUCGCGGCCUAUCAGCUUGAUGGUGAGGUGAUGGCUCACCAAGGCGAGGACAGGUAGCCGGCCUGAGAGGGCGACCGGCCACGCUGGGACGGGGACAAGGCCCAGACUCCUCCCGGACGGAGGGGUGGGGAAUGUUGCACUAUGGGCGGAAGCCUGGUGCGGCGAAGCCGCGUGGGGGGAGAGGGGAAGCGGGUUGGAAACCUCUUUCAGCAGGGAAGGAGCGAUAGUGACGGUACCUGCAGAAGAAGCACCGGCUAACUACGUG